rnacentral:rRNA from 1 species
AACGAACGCUGGCGGCAGGCUUAACACAUGCAAGUCGAACGCUCUAGCAAUAGAGAGUGGCGCACGGGUGAGUAACGCGUGGGAAUGUACCAUUUGGUGGGGAAUAACUCCGGGAAACUGGAGCUAAUACCGCAUACGCCCUUCGGGGGAAAGAUUUAUCGCCAAAUGAUCAGCCCGCGUGAGAUUAGGUAGUUGGUGGGGUAAUGGCCUACCAAGCCGACGAUCUCUAGCUGGUCUUAGAGGAUGACCAGCCAUACUGGAACUGAGACACGGUCCAGACUCCUACGGGAGGCAGCAGUGGGGAAUAUUGGGCAAUGGACGAAAGUCUGACCCAGCCAUGCCGCGUGAGUGAUGAAGGCUCUAGGGUUGUAAAGCUCUUUCGCCGAUGAAGAUAAUGACGGUAGUCGGAGAAGAAGCCCCGGCUAACUUCGUGCCAGCCGCCGCGGUAACAC